rnacentral:tRNA from 1 species
GAGGGUAUAGCUCAAGUGGUAGAGCACAUGCUUAGCAUGCACAAGGUCCUGGGUUCAAUCCCCAGUACCUCCC